CCUACGGGAGGCAGCAGUGAGGGAUAUUGGGCAAUGGGGGCAACCCUGACCCAGCGACGCCGCGUGAGGGAAGACGGUCUUCGGAUUGUAAACCUCUGUCUUUGGGGACGAAAAAGGACGGUACCCAAGGAGGAAGCUCCGGCUAACUACGUGCCAGCAGCCGCGGUAAUACGUAGGGAGCGAGCGUUGUCCGGAAUUACUGGGUGUAAAGGGAGCGUAGGCGGGAAGGCAAGUUGGAUGUGAAAACUGUGGGCUCAACCUACAGACUGCAUUCAAAACUGUUUUUCUUGAGUGAAGUAGAGGCAAGCGGAAUUCCUAGUGUAGCGGUGAAAUGCGUAGAUAUUAGGAGGAACACCAGUGGCGAAGGCGGCUUGCUGGGCUUUUACUGACGCUGAGGCUCGAAAGUGUGGGGAGCAAACAGGAU
rnacentral:rRNA from 1 species